GAACACUGUAAAAAGUUUCUGUAAAUUUACACCCAGAUUCCAACAUUAUUCACCUGUUUCCUUCAAUAAACAGGACUUUCCAGUCAUUAGUAAGACAAAUGUGUAAAAUCAGGCUCCAACACUGUUAUUUACCACGCCCGUAAUGUUUAUUCUGGAACACACGUACUUCCCGUUAUCUAUUAACGUUACCUUCGAGCUGGUGAUGGGAAGCUGUCUGCUGAGAGAAGACGAUACGUUGGAAUCAUACCCAAACCCAUCAACACAAUAAGGGAUGUGCGACUGUAGCUGAUGUUGAGUCUUCCAAGCCUACCUGUGACGCCUCGCCUGAUAUUACUAGGUGAACGACAAGGUAAUCAUCAAAAGUGGAUGGUCAGCAUUGAAUCCUUAAUCGUUUGUGAAGGGUCCAACCUCGCCACAUUUCUAACAGGGAUUGCGACAUGUUUCUCCACCUUCUAUAUUCUGAAUCUGCAAUAUCAGGAGGAGGCAGCGUGCACCCUUGAAUUCUUCCAGAGAAAAAGGCCCAGAAGAAGCCUAAGAACAAUCACUAAUAAGUAAAGUGAAUGUUACUUGAUUUCUCAUGAAUGUUACUUGAUUCCCUCCCUGAUUAUCAUUUAUACUCAUCUCUUACUUUAAAUUCUUCUGGACAUAAUCUGUCAGUUUAUUCAUUCUCACAUGUACACAAGGCCAAUGCGAUGCAAUGAUAUUGAUAAUUGAUAAAUAUCUGUGAUGAUUAUUCUGUAUCUUAUUUGAUUUUGAAAUAGUACUACUUUAGAUAACAUGUCUACAUUUUACAUACAUAUGUGAUACACAAGCCUAAUGCAAUGUUUUUAUUUUCCAUGAUAAUUCUUUUGUACCUUAUUUCCGAUUUUUGAAAUACAACUAGAUCACGUGUCUACAUUUUACAUUCAUACGUGAUACACGAGCCUAAUGCGAUGUUUUUGUUUUUCAUGUUAAUUCUUCUGUACCUUAUUCCUUGUUUUUUGAAAUACGAUUUUCAAAAUACUACUAGAUAGCGUGUCUAC